GGCUGGCUCAGUUGGUAGAGCAUGUGACUCUUGAUCUCAGAGUUGUGAGUUCGAGCCUCACAUUUGCUG
rnacentral:tRNA from 1 species